GAUGAACGCUGGCGGCGUGCCUAAUACAUGCAAGUCGAGCGAAUGGAUUAAGAGCUUACUCUUAUGAAGUUAGCGGCGGACGGGUGAGUAACACGUGGGUAACCUGCCCACAAGACUGGGAUAACUCCGGGAAACCGGGGCUAAUACCGGAUAAUAUUUUGAACUGCAUGGUUCAAAAUUGAAAGGCGGCUUCGGCUGUCACUUAUGGAUGGACCCGCGUCGCAUUAGCUAGUUGGUGAGGUAACGGCUCACCAAGGCAACGAUGCGUAGCCGACCUGAGAGGGUGAUCGGCCACACUGGGACUGAGACACGGCCCAGACUCCUACGGGAGGCAGCAGUAGGGAAUCUUCCGCAAUGGACGAAAGUCUGACGGAGCAACGCCGCGUGAGUGAUGAAGGCUUUCGGGUCGUAAAACUCUGUUGUUAGGGAAGAACAAGUGCUAGUUGAAUAAGCUGGCACCUUGACGGUACCUAACCAGAAAGCCACGGCUAACUACGUGCCAGCCGCCGCGGUAA
rnacentral:rRNA from 1 species